AUCACCUGGGGAUCUUGUUAAAAAGCAGAUUCUGAUCCAGAAGAACGGGGGUACCACCUGAUUCUGCAUUUAUAGAAAGCUCCCAGGUGAUACCAA
rnacentral:pre_miRNA from 1 species